AUUACUUUGAAGAUCUUCACCUCUGCUCAGAUUUAUUUAUUUUUUUAAUUCUCCUUCAGUUACAACAGCAAAGCUUCUGGAAACUUCUCUUUGGCUCGGGGUACUUUGUAAGGACUGGCUCUUGGUUCAAUGGUGAGCUCCAUCUGCAUGCCUGGAGGAGCAUCGGGCUCGCAGGGGAUGCAUCGCAACCAAAGGCUGUGAAGUUCUGGAGCAAGGAAAUUGAAGAAAUAUUCGGAUAAGUCGGAAAUGGUCCUGCUGCACAUGCACAGCAAUUACCCACGUGGGUCUUUGUGACAUUGUUCUUCAGCUGCAGAUCCUGGGAGAUCGCCACAGUCACUCACAAUCAAACAAAAGGAGUAUAAUGAAAGUAUUUUAAUCUGCUGAUCAGCUAUUCGGAGGGAAAGGCCGUGCUAGGUGUCUUCACAGUCUGGAAAUGAACACAGUGAUGUGAGCAUUGUGAGCAGGACACAGGAGCCUUGUUGCUGGGGGAACAGCAGGCUGUCCUCUGCAGGAUCUUCAGCUCUGAGACGCUUCCAGCUGCAACAAACAUCAGUUAACAGAGUUAUAUGAGGAGACUUUGGGAAGGACCCCAAGGAAGAGUGAGGAAGAGCGAUGUAUCUCCUUGCACUGCAGCUCCCUGAAACAUCGACUGGCAUUAAAGCGCUCCUGAAAUCUGCCUUUUUCAGUAGAGAGGACUGACCAAAGGAAAUUACAUUACAGCCAGACAUUAAUUGUUUUCCUAGCGGCUCUUGGAAUGCUCGUGCAUUUGUGGAUUGACACAGCCCUUUGAAAUCUGUCACGAACUGCAAUUCUGCACUUUUGUUGCUUUACUGCAAGAGUUGUUUUCAGGAUGGAGACACAGAUGUCUGUCAGCGUGCUGCAGCUGAGAAAAGAGAAAUUCCGUGACCAACCAAGGAGACAGGUUGGAUACACUUCACUCCGGUAAAGGAGAGGCUCCUCGCAGGCUGGAGCAGGAGGGGACAGACCCAGCACUGGGCACCGCUGCCGUUGUCUCCAGCAGUCUCGGUGGCUUUGUGGCAUGUGAUAAAAGCAGAGGACCUGACUGCCUGACAGAAAAUCUGCCAUCCCUCCGAGGUACUUCUUGUGCUGUAGUGAAUGUCUUCCAGAGGAGGUCUGUCCUAUUUUUCUGUAAUAACAUAAUGUUGCUAUAAAAGGAUGUCAAAACAAUAUCCGUUCAGAGAUUCGUUCGGUUCAGUAUUCAGAGGGGUAUCUUUUGUGGUGGUGUAUCACACUUUACAAUUCUAAUGUAAAAAUAUCAAUACCACUUUGAGCAGUGAUACAGACCUCUGCUAAUUGAAAGUCUUAUUUAGCUAUGUAGGCUAUGGAACAAUGGUCGCUGCUCCUGACGAGGAUCGUGCUCAGGGACAUGAUUUAGCAGAAGGUUGUUAGAGUUAGGGAAGUAUGGUCAGGUUGCAGUUGGACUUGAUGAUCUUUAAGGCUUUUUCCAACCUGAGCAAUUCUAUGAUUCUGGAUGGAAGGAGCAGAUGCAGAUUUUUGCUCCUUUACACACUUUACCUCCCUGAAAGCCCUUAAGUGAGCUUCACAUCUCUCUCUGG